GAGUUUGAUCCUGGCUCAGAGCGAACGCUGGCGGCAGGCCUAACACAUGCAAGUCGAACGAACUCUUCGGAGUUAGUGGCGGACGGGUGAGUAACACGUGGGAACGUGCCUUUUGGUUCGGAAUAACUCAGGGAAACUUGUGCUAAUACCGAAUGUGCCCUUCGGGGAAGAUUUAUCGCCAUUAGAGCGGCCCGCGUCUGAUUAGCUAGUUGGUGAGGUAAAGGCUCACCAAGGCGACGAUCAGUAGCUGGUCUGAGAGGAUGAUCAGCCACAUUGGGACUGAGACACGGCCCAAACUCCUACGGGAAGCAGCAGUGGGGAAUCUUGCGCAAUGGGCGAAAGCCUGACGCAGCCAUGCCGCGUGAAUGAUGAAGGUCUUAGGAUUGUAAAAUUCUUUCACCGGGGACGAUAAUGACGGUACCCGGAGAAGAAGCCCCGGCUAACUUCGUGCCAGCCGCCGCAGU
rnacentral:rRNA from 1 species